rnacentral:rRNA from 1 species
GGGUCCGCGUCUCAUUAGCUUGUUGGCGGGGUAAUGGCCCACCAAGGCUACGAUGGGUAGCUGGUCUGAGAGGAUGAUCAGCCACACUGGAACUGAAACACGGUCCAGACUCCUACGGGAGGCAGCAGUGGGGAAUAUUGCGCAAUGGGGGAAACCCUGACGCAGCGACGCCGUGUGAGGGAAGAAGGCUUUCGGGUCGUAAACCUCUGUCGGGAGGGAAGAACCUUCCAGGUCUGAAUAAGCCCUGGAACUGACGGUACCUCCAAAGGAAGCACCGGCUAACUCCGUGCCAGCAGCCGCGGUAAU